ACUCCUACGGGAGGCAGCAGUAGGGAAUCUUCCGCAAUGGGCGAAAGCCUGACGGAGCAACGCCGCGUGAGUGAAGAAGGUCUUCGGAUCGUAAAACUCUGUUAUUAGGGAAGAACAAAUGGUGUAAAGUAACUAUGCACGUUCUUGACGGUACCUAAUCAGAAAGACCACGGCUAACUACGUGCCAGCAGCCGCGGUAAUACGUAGGUGGCAAGCGUUAUCCGGAAUUAUUGGGCGUAAAGCGCGCGUAGGCGGUUUUUUAAGUCUGAUGUGAAAGCCCACGCUCAACCGUGGAGGGUCAUUGGAAACAUGGAAAACUUGAGUGCAGAAGGAGGAAAAGUGGAAUUCCAUGUGUAGCGGUGAAAUGCGCAGAGAUAUGGAGG
rnacentral:rRNA from 1 species